GAGGAGGGCAAGGGUCCCGCACUCCAGCCACAGGACCAUAGCACCUGCUGGGGCCCCAGGAAUCCCGCCUGGAACAGAGCUGAGCGCCAGGGCUCAGCCAGGGGAGGCGGCGAGCUCCCAGCAGCCCCGCCGCAGCUGCCCACACUUAUCAGGCUGCCAAGACCCCAGGACCCUCGUGAGAUGAACCCAAGUUCCUUUGUGCGCAGGUCUGGGGUCUGGAUGCCUCAGGAUCGCUGGGGCCUGGGGUGGGGGGAGACGGGGGGGGACCUCCACCUGCAGAGCCGCUGUACAACAUGGACUUGGAGAGCCGAGAGGUAACCCUCUACCUGGGGUCUAUCCCGAUGGGAGUAGCAGCUGCCAUUCCCCGUGGCCAAGUGCCAUGUGGCUGGGAAUGAUCCUGAACAAAUGAGCGAAUCUGGCUGGCACCACCUCUAGAAGGGGCACUUGGGCAUUUAACAACGGAAAAUGAGUAACGAUGGAUCUCAUGAGAUACUCAUUCCACAGGCCAGGCAAUGAAGCAUUCAAGUGCAUUUUCCAUGAUUUUGCCCUGAGUAUGAUUAUAGUUGUAUGUGAGCUGUAAUAAUUAUUUCUAGUUAUAAUUCUGUGUGAGCGUCUUCUUAGCACUGGGCUGGGCAGAGCACAGAAGCUGGCAAAUAAAAUAAAAGGUACUCUCGGAGUUCCCGUCGUGGCUCAGUGGUUAACAAGUCCAACUAGGAACCAGGAGGUUUCAGGUUCGAUUCCUGGCCUCGCUCAUUGGGUUAAAGAUCUGGCAUCGCCGUGAGCUGAGGUGUAGGUCACAGACGCAGCUUGGAUCCCGUGUUGCUGUGGCUGUGGUGUAGGCCCAUGGCUAUGGCUCCAAUUCGACCCCUAGCCUGGGAACCCUGCAUAUGCCGAGGGAACGGCCCUAUAAAAGACAAAAAGACAAAAAAAAAGGUACACUCAGUGAAACUUGCCAUUGCCCAUUCAAUUGUAACUGUUUUUUUUAAAUCUUUCAUUUGUUGAUUUAUUUUUGUCCCCCCCCCACCCUUGGCAAGCGGGAUUUCCUGAGCCAGGGAUCAAACCCGCGCCACAGCAGUGACAACGCCAGAUUAGCCCCCUAGGCCACCAGGAAACUCCGAGAGCUAGCAUUUUUUAGCAGUACAGUGUUUUUAAAUUAAAAAAAAAAAAAAAAAGAUAAGGCCAAGGGAGAUGAUACACACCGGAGAAGGUCAUGAAAAGCCAAGCAGGGACUAGAGUGGGGGAGCCGCAAGCUACCAGGGCCAGCACCCCCUAGAAGCUGGAAGAGGGGGAGUUCCCGUUGUGGCUAACAAACUCAACGAGUAUCCAUAAGUUUGAUCCGACCCCUAGCCUGGGAACCUCCAUAUGCUGGGGGUGCGGCCCUAAAAGAAAGCAAAAACAUGGGAGUCCAAGCCCCGGAGUGAAAGCCCUGGAGUGAGAAGGAGGAGCACCCAUCUAAGGGGCAUGCGUGGUCCAGGCACCGAAGGACCAGACCUCGUGCUGCUGCUGCACGAGGGAGGAGUCCAGUGGGUGCACUGUGUCGGGGGCAUCAGGAGGGGCUGCCUUGCCAAGCUUUUCCAUGGCAGGGACUCCGUUAGAUGGAAAAGGUAAGAGCCAGGAGAUCCUCAAGUGAGCCCUGAUGAAAAGCUGAGGCGGGGCGGGGGGGGGGGGGGGGAGCCUCAGACGCCCUUCCUGCCAGGCCCCCACAGCAGCUGCCCCUAUUCUCAGAGGGUCUCCUCAGAGGUGGGGCUGGAAAGCUGCUUCUAGAAACUCAAGACUCAAG
rnacentral:lncRNA from 1 species